UCCCUUGAGGAGCGUUGCGACAGCCGGCCCAUAAAGACGCGGUUGCCAGGCUCAAGGUGUCACCUUCAACGGCGCUCGCUAACC
rnacentral:ncRNA from 2 species